UUGGAGGGCAAGUCUGGUGCCAGCAGCCGCGGUAAUUCCAGCUCCAAUAGCGUAUAUUAAAGUUGUUGCAGUUAAAAAGCUCGUAGUUGAAUUUCGGGGUCAGUAGGUUGGUCGUGCCACUGGUAUGCACUGGUCUCACUGAUUCCUCCUUCCUGAUGAACCGUAAUGCCAUUAAUUUGGUGUUGCGGGGAAUCUGGACUGUUACUUUGAAAAAAUUAGAGUGUUUAAAGCAGGCUAACGCUUGAAUACAUUAGCAUGGAAUAAUGAAAUAGGACGAUCGAUCCUAUUUUGUUGGUUUCUAGGAUUGACGUAAUGAUUAGUAGGGAUAGUUGGGGGCAUUAGUAUUCAAUUGUCAGAGGUGAAAUUCUUGGAUUUAUUGAAGACUAACUACUGCGAAAGCAUUUGCCAAGGAUGUUUUCAUUAAUCAAGAACGAAAGUUAGGGGAUCGAAGACGAUCGGAUACCGUCGUAGUCUUAACCAUAAACUAUGCCGACUAGGGAUCGGAUGAUGUUAAUUUUUUAAUGACUCAUUCGGCGCCUUACGGGAAA
rnacentral:rRNA from 1 species